GGAGUUAUAACCCCAUGCCUUUCUGUCUGUGAGGGCAGAAUCUUAGCUGUGGAUGGUGCCCCAUGGGGAGAGCUGUGCCCUCACAAGCCACUCCUUUACUAGGUUUCAUUCUCUUGGUUUCAUUAGGUUGACCUGGCCUAAUAGUGGUUUGGGGUUGGAGAAACGAUGUUCUGAUUUUAAGUUUGUAAGACGCUUGCCUUUCUGCUGGAGUAAUUUGGAGGCAUCUGAGUGAAGCAUCUCAACCCUUGCUGGCUCUGGGUCUUAAUAUCUGGGCCCAGAAAUGUGGAGGGCUGAGUAAGGUAUGGGGGAGCUGAACAGGCCAGCCAGAGAUGGAAGAAAUGAAGCAAUUCAGAAGUGGUUCUUCACUUUGGUUUCCACCAGUUGUUAUGGAUAGAGACUAUAGAGCUCACAUUAUUUGGUUUCUCAUAUUUGGGCCUUGCCUGUUCCAGCUGCCUUGGCAUGAUGGAGACCUAGGUGGUUGUUUUCACCAGGCUGUAGAGAACUGAGGACUCAGUGCUUGUUCUCUGACCAUUGCAUGCUCUCCUUUGCCAAUGAAAGAGCUCAUUCAUGCCAUAAAUUGAGGGUGGACUCAGAGCUCUACUUUCCUUCAUCUGACUGGGUCAGCGCCCUCCACCUUAUUCUGAAGCCACCCUCGUGUGCUGACUUGACUUCCUCACCAUCAGCUUGGUCAGCACACCAUACCAGCUUAGCACCAGCUGCUCUGUGGCUGAGGCCAGAGAAAAAGAAGUGCAAAAUGACUCUGUGCUCCUUACGCUACUAGGAGGAGCCAUCCAAGUUUGUAGAGGGUUCAUCACAGUGUCAGAAAUCCCAAAUGGAUUGUCUUUGGGUCUGACCCCUCCUCUUUGCCCCCCCCCCCCCCCGCUUUGUUCUUCUUUUGUUCCUUUUUUCAAAAUCUUUUUAUUUCUUAUGGUUUUUUUUUUGUUUUGUUUUGUUUUGUCUUUUUGCUAUUUCUUGGGCCGCUCCUGCGCAUAUGGAGGUUCCCAGGCUAGGGGUCAAAUCGGAGCUGUGGCCGCCAGCCUACGCCAGAGCCACAGCAACGAAGGAUCCGAGCCGCGUCUGCAACCUACACCACAGCUCACGGCAACGCCGGAUCGUUAACCCACUGUGCAAGGGCAGGGACCGAACCCGCAACCUCAUGGUUCCUAGUCAGAUUUGUUAACAACUGAGCCAUGAUGGGAACUCCCUCUUUUUUUAAUUUUUAAUGAUUUUGAUUUUUUCCAUUAUAGUUGGUUUACAAUGUUCUGUCAAUUUCUACUGUACAGCAAAGUGUCCCAGUCACACAUAUAUAUAUUGUUUUUCUCACAUUACUCUCCAUAAUAUUCCAUCACAAGUGACUAGAUAUAGUUCCCUAUAUAGCAGGAUCUCAUUCCUUAUCCACUCCAAAUGCAGUAGUUUGCAUCUAUUAACCCCAGACUCCCAGUCCAUCCCACUCCCCCCUCUGCCUUGGCAACCACAAGUCUGUUCUCCAAGUCCAUGAGUUUCUUUUCUGUGGAAAGGUUCAUCUGUGUGGUAUAUUAGAUUCCAGAUAUAAGUGGUAUCAUACGGUAUUUGUGUUUCUCUUGCUGACUUACUUCACUUAGUAUGAGUCUAGUUCCAUCCAUGUUGCUGCAAAUGGCAUUAUUUUCUUUUUAUGGGUGAGUAGUAUUCCAGUGUGUGUGUAUCUCACAUCCUCUUAAUCCAUUCAUCUGAGGAUGGGCAUUUAGGUGGUUUCCCCUUUUUUUUGGGUGUGGGGGGCUCUCAUCUGCAGCAUAUGAAAGUUCCCAGGCUAGGGGUCAAAUCAGAGCUGUAGCCACUGGCCCACUCCACAGCUCACUUCAAUGCUGGAUUCUUAACCCACUGAGUGAGACCAGGGAUCGAACCUUCGUCCUCAUGCAUGCUAGUCAGAUUUGUUUCCCCUAAGCUAUGACAGAAACUCCUUUGUUUUGUUCCUUAAAUAACGUCUACGAUAAAUUUGCUCUCUCUGUCCUCAAAGGUGUUCCCCAAAUUGUGAGAUGCCUAACCCAUAAGUAAAGUGACCAGCAAUCCCCAUGGGAGAAGGGGUACAUUUACCCUUUGAGAUUCUCACAGUCCUUCUGUUCACUUUGAGAGAAAGUCUCAUUGGGAGCUGAUCUGCCUUUGUGUACAUCGAGUGCCAUUAAGAAUCUUGGGCUUGCAGCCACACCAAUGUUGUUUUCAUUGUACCUAUGCAUAUGGAGUUCCGGGGCCAGGGGCCAGCCUAUGCUACAUCUGUGGCAAUGCCAGAUCCUUAACCCGUUGUGCUGGGCUGAAGAUCGAACCUUCGUCCCUGCGCUCCAGAGACACCACUGAUCCUGCUGCACCACAGUGGUAACUUCUCUUUGUACUUAUUUUUAUACUGGCUCUUUGUAGCAGCAGAUGCUGGCUGGUUUUAAAGUUAAUGGCCUUUUUCUUCUUUUUCUCUUAAUUUUGGAAAAUUUUCAAAUCUAUAAAAAGUAGAUUUACCAAUUAAUAUUUUGCCACAUUUGUUUUAUCAGUGCACAUUUUUUCCUAAAUCGCAGAUGUGAUAUCUUACCUCAUGUACUUUAGCAAACAUCGCUUUGAUAGUAAGGCAUUGUCUUGAAAGCCAGGACCCCAAAUAAUACUUGUAUAUCCUUGUUCAUAGUAGUAUUGUCAUAAUGGUCAAAAGGUGGAAGCAACCCAAGUGUCCAUGGAUGGAUAAAUGAACAAAUAUGAUGUAUCUAUACAGUGGUAUAUUGUUCAGCUGUAAAAAGGAAGGAAAUUGUGAUACAGGCUACACACGGAUGAACCUUGAGGAUAUUAUGUUAAGUGAAAGAAGCCAGUCAUGAAGAAAUAAAUCCUGUGUGAUUCCGCUUAUAUUAGGUAGUUAGAGUAGUAGUCACAUUCAUAGAGACAGAAGGUAGAAUAGUGGUUACUAAGGGCUGGAGGGAGGAGGAAAUGGGGAGUUGGUAUUUAAUGGGUAUAGAGUUUCAGUUUUGCAAGGUGAAAAAAGUUCUGGAGAUGGAGAGAGGUAACAGUUGCCCAACAGUGUGAUUGUAUUUAAUGCCACUAAACUAUGUGCUUAAAAACAGUUUAUAUAGGGAGUUCCCGUCAUGGCUCAGUGGUAACGAACCCAACUAGGAUCCAUGAGGAUGAGAUUCCAUCCCUGGCCUCGCUCAGUGGGUUAAGGAUCUGGUGUUGCCAUGAGCUGUGGUGUAGGUCCCAGACAUGGCUUCGAUUAUAUGUUGCUGUAGCUGUGGUGUAGGCCUGCAACUACAGCUCAGAAUCUACCCCUAGGCUGGGAACUUCCAUAUGCUGUGGG
rnacentral:lncRNA from 1 species